rnacentral:rRNA from 1 species
CCUACGGGAGGCAGCAGUGAGGAAUAUUGGUCAAUGGCCGGAAGUCUGAACCAGCCAAGCCGCGUGAAGGACGACGGUGCCAAGCAUUGUAAACUUCUUUUGUCAGGGGACAAACUCAGGCUCGCGAGCCUGACCGAGGGUACUUUACGAAAAAGCAUCGGCUAACUCCGUGCCAGCAGCCGCGGUAAUACGGAGGAUGCGAGCGUUAUCCGGAUUUAUUGGGUUUAAAGGGUGCGUAGGCGGACUGUUAAGUCAGCGGUAAAAGCCCGGGGCUCAACCCGGGCCGGCCGUUGAAACUGGGGAUCUGGAGUGGGCGAGAAGUAGGCGGAAUGCGUGGUGUAGCGGUGAAAUGCAUAGAGAUCACGCAGAACUCCGAUUGCGAAGGCAGCAUACCGGAGCCCGACUGACGCUGAGGCACGAAAGCGUGGGGAUCGAACAGGAUUAGAUACCCGAGUAGUC